UGGGCAUGCUCCAACAACUCCAUGUCUCUCCUGUACCAAGGACUGCACGUCUGGGUGCAGUACUCCAGGUGUGGUCUCACCAGUGCAGAGUAGAAUGUCAGAAUCACCUACCUUAACCUGCUGACCAUACAUCUAGCCAUACAGCCCAAGAUACAGCUGGCUUUUUGGGCUGUGAGGGCACAUUACUGACUCACGUCCAGCUUGCCAUCCACUAAUACCUCUAAAUCUUUCUCAACAGGGCUAUGCUCCAUGCUAAUAUCUCACAGCUUGUACUUGUAGCAGGGGUUGCCACAACCCAGGUGCAUUUGGAUUCAUUGAUACUCAUGAGGUUCACCUGGGCCCACUGCUCGAGCCAGUCUAGGUCUCUCUCAAUCACAUCUUUUUCUUGUGUACCAAUGAGCUUCUUUAAAGAUCUGCCAGCUCUGCUCCACUCCCAUGUCCUUGAAGACAGAUUCCUAGGGGGUUUUGAGUACCAAAUUCUUGAAGAGCUCGACUUUGGAUUUCCUAAAUUUAAGCUUCCAGAUUUUAUUAUUUGGCUGUCUGAUAUCCUUCAUGAGUUCUAACUUCAUAACUGUAUUGCCACUACAGCCCAGGCAGCCUCCAGUCCUGAUAUCACUAAUCAGUUCACUCUCAUUGGUGAGCAAGAGGUCCAACACUGCAUCCACUCUGGCGGAACUAUCUAUCACUUGUCUCAGGAAGUUAUCCUCAGUACAUUCCAGGAGCCUCCUGGACUGCCUACAGUUCAUUGGUUCAUUGUGUUGUUGGAACUCCCUUUCACUUAGAAGAACAUGAUAGAUGUCUUCCUCUAUGUCAAUGAACCAGCUUAUAAAACUUCUGAGGUAAGUGUGACUUCCUGUAGAUUGUCAAUAAAGCAAGAGUUUUUCAUUGGCUUUAUUUAUUUAUUUAUUUAUUUAUUUAUUUAUUUAUUUAACCACAGUUAUGUUCGAUUUGACUUCCUCUCACUCCUUCUCCUUUGAACAUCUCAUCAAUGAAAAAUGAGUACUUCUAUUAACUUUAUUAGGUUUGGGGGUUUUUUGCGUUUCUAGGUUUUUUUCUUCAGUUCACAAGCAUUUGAGAGAUUUGUAAGAUUUGUGAUAGAAGCAAACCAUCAAAAUAACUUUUAGGGAAUCAGAACUUGAUCUAAAUUAAAAAAAAAGAAAGAGUUUAAGAGCUUCUUACUAUGGCUAAAUAUUAGUAGAAUAUCUUCUAUCCUAGGCAAGGAUAUUUGAAUAUGGGUAUCAAUGAAAGUGAUGUUCAUUCAUUAAUGUUCAUUAAAUAAAGUCAAUGAAGCAAUUAUUUCUGAAACUAAGUGUGUGUUUAGGAUUUUUGUAAGGCACAGCACAAAACUUAACUGAAUAUUAAAAAAAGAAAAUCAAUGCAAGUGGAUACAUAAAAAUGCACGUUCACGAUUCACUGACAUACACUCAUUAGUAGCACUAAUUUUCUUUGCAGAGUUCCAGAGAAUAUUAUUCUGAGCUGUGUGUGUGAAAGUAAUUAAAACUGUUGGUAUGUAACAUAAGUAAUCAGAAGAGAAAACAGAGAAAAUCCUGCACCAUUUUAUCUGAAAAGGAAAACAAAACUCAGAUUUCCAUUCUGAGAGUGAUUAAACUGCCCCUACACGGACUUUCUCAUGAAACAGUGAAUGAAGGAGAAUUUCUGUAAUCUGAUUACUUAUGUCUAUCAAAUAACAAUUGACCCUGUCAUUCAGUACAAUAGUAUUUAUUACCUUACCUGCCAAGAAUGAUAAAUUCAUCUACAGGAUGUGAAUACUGACAAAGAGAGGAUGCAAUUGAAGUAAGUUAUGUAUGGAAAUUGUUAACUCCAUCCUCAUUCUAGAUAAGAGCUGCAUAACAUGUAAAUAAUCAUCCCAAUCUCUUUGAGCCCUAUUGCAGGAAUCUAAAGUCAUGUUGAAAGAUGCUUAAUUUGAAUAGACUAUAGAGCAGACAAAUGGAUGUUUAUACACAGCUGGACAUAUGAAGUAUACAGAAAGUGUUGGUACUUACCUAUGCUUAAGCACUUAUGAACCAUCUUAGGUAAAAAGGAAAUAAAGCCCACUUUUAUUCAAAGAUUAAGCCAAACAAACCUCUGAAAUCCUAAACGUUUGGUCCAUGUUUUGCUGCUAUGGCAUACCUAUGUAAUUCUGGUUUGGCUGGGGUGAGAGACAAAAAAAUGUUACAAUGCAGAACAGUUUUGAAAUAUACAGAAUCCUGCUGCCACAGCAGGAUGUAUGCACGUAGAGCAGAACCGGGAGAAUUGCUGUGGAGGCAGUUUAUAGACAAACACUAGAAAUGUGUCUAAGAACUGUACCAGAGAUCUGAAGCAUGGUACUACAUGAUAUACCAGUUAAGAGUCUGAGAUAAAAUGUUUAGUUGCCUUUCUGUGUUUGCAUAAUCAAAUGUCUGCUGAUUGUAUAACGGUUUGGAGACAGGCACCCAAGUGUUUGAUUGUUUAACCAAGUUAAACCCAACUACAAAACUUUUAUACCCUGUUCAUGAGUAGGCAACCACAAAUACUGCAAGCAACUUUCCAAGCACUAUUCUUUACUUUGGCAAAUUAAAUCCAUAUUUAGCUGCUCAGCACUCUGUUCAUUCUCAGAUUCUUAAAAUAAUUUUAAAAACAAGACUAUUUUUAGACCUACACUUAUAUGUUAUUAGUAUUUGUGAAGUAGUUACACCAGUCCAGUUCAUGGUCUGGACAAAAUCUCCCCAGACUCUACAGCCUCCCUGGAUAAUCUGCGCCAAUGUUCGAUCUCAUGGGGAAAAAAAAAAAAGUGUUUUCCUAUGCUCAGAUGGAAUUUCAUGUGUUUUAAUUUCUGCACAUUUGCUCUCAUUUCUCCUUUUUCUGGACUUGCUCCAGGAUGUCCAUGUCUCUUCUGCAAUGGGGAGUCCACAAAUGGACUCAGCAUCCACGUGUGUCUUAUUAGAACAGAGAUGAGUGAAGGACCUUCCUAGAAAAAACUCUCUUAAUCACUCAUUCCUUCCUUAAUCUAAAUCUCAGACUUUUUCCACUGAGCUCCAGCAGUCUUCUGUAAGUCAGUGACUAUGGUUAUAUUCUAUAUGAAGGCCUUCUAAACUCUAAUCAUCUGUAGUAAGGUUGCUAGGAGUCCAUCCGGUUUUUACAAUAACCAUUUUAAUGUCUAUUCAUUUGGAAUAGUAUUUUUAGUAAUUAACUAAUUCUUUAGUACUAAACUCAGUCAUAAAGAAAAAAAGUAAUCAAAUGAGAAAAAGUUGCUUACUACUGAUAACUCAGACAAGCAGGACAGAGAUGUACAUAAGAUUGGUGCUUUCAGAGUCCACUUUUGACUGUGAUACAAUAGAGACAGUACACAGAUUACUUUCUUUUGACAUUAAGCCAUCAGUGUGAAUUAAUGCAAUUCAUUUAACUUAAUUUUCAAACUUAAAGUUGGAUUUAUCAGAAAAUGAAAUGUACUAGAAGCCUUGACAAUGAAAUGCAUAUCUUUAAAAAUAAAUUAAGGUAUUACAACUUUUCCAUGUAAUUUAUAUCACAUUAAAUGACUUUACAGAAUCCAUUGAGAUCAGGAGCUCAGGUGGGUCUAGGGUUUGAACAUAUAAGGGUUAAAUAAGCUAGCUUUGAAAGCUAGGGAAGGAGAACGACAUCUCAACAUUUCAUGGUCAGCUACGCAAACACAAAGAAAGGAACAAUACAAAAUGAAUGGCUUUGACCAGUUUGAAUGCACCGUGAAAAGGUCAGACCAAGGAAGAUGUUGAGCCUUUGUGAGGAAGACUUCUGACUUCAUCCCCAUGACCACCUGAGGGAGACCCCAACUACGGACAAUGCAUGCACCAUGGGAGGGGCAGUAUGUAAACAAAUUUCCAGAAGGAUAAUGAAUAUGUAGAUGGGUUCCAAGAAUUCUGCUGAAUAUGUAUGGACUUGGCUUACAAAUCUGUAGUGUUUUUGCUUGCUGGUGUGCAAGUUUGGUGGAGUGAUCCCCCUUGCACCCGGCCGGCCGAGUAAACAUACCUGCUUUAAAACCUAA